rnacentral:rRNA from 1 species
UGCAGUCGAGCGAGCUGAAUUCAAAGAUCCCUUCGGGGUGAUUUGUUGGACGCUAGCGGCGGAUGGGUGAGUAACACGUGGGCAAUCUGCCCUAAAGACUGGGAUACCACUUGGAAACAGGUGCUAAUACCGGAUAACAACAUGAAUCGCAUGAUUCAAGUUUGAAAGGCGGCGCAAGCUGUCACUUUAGGAUGAGCCCGCGGCGCAUUAGCUAGUUGGUGGGGUAAAGGCCUACCAAGGCAAUGAUGCGUAGCCGAGUUGAGAGACUGAUCGGCCACAUUGGGACUGAGACACGGCCCAAACUCCUACGGGAGGCAGCAGUAGGGAAUCUUCCACAAUGGACGCAAGUCUGAUGGAGCAACGCCGCGUGAGUGAAGAAGGUUUUCGGAUCGUAAAGCUCUGUUGUUGGUGAAGAAGGAUAGAGGCAGUAACUGGUCUUUAUUUGACGGUAAUCAACCAGAAAGUCACGGCUAACUACGUGCCAGCAGCCGCGGUAAUACGUAGGUGGCAAGCGUUGUCCGGAUUUAUUGGGCGUAAAGCGAGCGCACGCGGAAUGAUAAGUCUGAUGUGAAAGCCCACGGCUCACCCGUGGAACUGCAUCGGAAACUGUCAUUCUUGAGUGCAGAAGAGGAGA